rnacentral:ncRNA from 2 species
GCUUAUUCUCAGGGCGGGGCGAAAUUCCCCACCGGCGGUAAAUCAGCGAUGUUUAACGCGUUUCUCUCAUCACGGUACGCCGUGGUGGAACACGGAGAACAGGUUGAAAGCCCGCGAGCGCUUUUUGCAAUAGCGAAGAGGUCAGCAGAUCCGGUGUAAUUCCGGGGCCGACGGUUAAAGUCCGGAUGGGAGAGGGUAACG